rnacentral:rRNA from 1 species
GACGAACGCUGGCGGCGUGCUUAACACAUGCAAGUGGAGCGACGAACCGGGCUUCGGCCCGGGGCAAAGCCGCGAACGGGUGAGUAACACGUGGGUUACCUGCCCCGAUGACUGGGACAA